UACGGAGGGUGCAAGCGUUGUCCGGAUUCAUUGGGUUUAAAGGGUGCGUAGGCGGGUUGGUAAGUCCGUGGUGAAAUCCCCAGCUUAACUUGGGAACUGCCGUGGAUACUAUCAAUCUUGAAUAUCGUGGAGGUAAGCGGAAUAUGUCAUGUAGCGGUGAAAUGCUUAGAUAUGACAUAGAACACCAAUUGCGUAGGCAGCUUACUACACGAUCAUUGACGCUGAGGCACGAAAGCGUGGGGAGCAAACAGG
rnacentral:rRNA from 1 species